AGUGAACGCUGGCGGUAGGCCUAAUACAUGCAAGUCGUGCGGCAGCACAGUAAUAGCUUUCCAUUACGGGUGGACGGUCGAGGACGGGCGAAGCACACAUCCAACUUUACUUUUUCGUGGGGGAUAACGUAGGGAAACUGACGCUAUUCCCGCAUACGACAUACGGGUGAAAGCAGGGGAUCUUCAAACCUUGCGCGAUCGAAUGAGCCGAUGUCCGAUUAGCUAGUUGGCGGGGUAAAGGCCCACCAAGGCGACGAUACGUAGAUGGUCUGAGAGGAUGAUCAGCCACACUAGAACUGAGACACGGUCCAGACUCCUACGGGAGGGAGCAGUGGGGAAUAUUGGACAGUGGGAGCGAGCCUAAUCCAGCCAUACCGCGUCGGUGAAGAAGGCCUUCGGGUUGUAGAUCCCUAUUGUUGGGAAAGAAAAGCAGCAGGUUAAUACCCCGCUGUUCUGACGGUACCCAAAGAAUAAGCACCGGCUAACUUCGUG
rnacentral:rRNA from 1 species